rnacentral:lncRNA from 1 species
AGAUAAAGAGAAGUUUAAAGGAACAAACAUUAGAGAGCGUCUUGUCAAUUAAAGUGACUGCUACAGUUGCCGAAAUAAGAAAAGGAAUAAUGACUUUAUUAAAAUACGCACUCGACAGAUCAAAUGGUGGUGGUUGGCGCGUAUAAGGCGAUUCACCCGAUGUUUAACCUUCAUACUUAUUCCUAGUUGUUCUGGAACUAUUGAUAAUAGUUAUUAUUGAUAAAUUGAUAAAUAUAUUACAGAUAAAUAAAACUUUUUUUUUUCAAACAUUUUACUUUAUUUGCAUUGUAUAUAAAGUCCCUUGAAGCAAUUUAGUUGUAUCUGAUUAAUAUACUUGAAAUACAAUAUUCUCUGCGCAAA